UGCUGGAGCUUGCCUGCCUGUCUCUGUUUAGUCUGUGUGUUCUGAGUGACAGCGUCUCACUUUAGACCCACCCUGAAGGGGCGUGACUAGAGUCCGUUACCGGAGCCGCUCUGAAUAGGUACAAUACAGCAGUAAUAUACAAGCAGGGAAACUGUGGAUGUUACAUAAGCAAGUUACCUCAGAGCUCUGGGUGUAUGAACUUGGAGUAGCUUACACGGAGCCCGGUGGGCGUGGCUAAGUUCCGUGAACAACCGGAGUCUUUUCCUUGAAAUAAGAUUAAUAAAGAACCACUGGACAUUGAUGCUGAUGAAGGACGAGACAGACCAUCUCAUACAUAAGGAUAAAAGCACUUCACGGCAACUACUUCUACAUUGGAUGGUUUAUCUACAGUCCUUCUAGAAUAUCUUUUAAUAUUGGAGUGGGGUUAGCCGUAUGGAGUCGGGAUUCUGCCCAGGUGACUGCAAUGGUGAAGAACCCUUGUGAUUGUUCACGCUCCGGUGUUGGCGUUUGUUGUGUUAUUGGAGCAUUUACCAGCAAAGUGGGGCCGGAACAGUGAAGCACAGCGUAUACUUGA